rnacentral:siRNA from 1 species
ACUUUAGCAGAGUAGAUAUGAUGG